AGUGAACGCUGGCGGUAGGCCUAACACAUGCAAGUCGAACGACAGCACAGUAAGAGCUUGCUCUUACGGGUGGCGAGUGGCGGACGGGUGAGGAAUACAUCGGAAUCUACUUUUUCGUGGGGGAUAACGUAGGGAAACUUACGCUAAUACCGCAUACGACCUACGGGUGAAAGUAGGGGAUCUUCGGACCUUGCGCGAUUGAAUGAGCCGAUGUCGGAUUAGCUAGUUGGCGGGGUAAAGGCCCACCAAGGCGACGAUCCGUAGCUGGUCUGAGAGGAUGAUCAGCCACACUGGAACUGAGACACGGUCCAGACUCCUACGGGAGGCAGCAGUGGGGAAUAUUGGACAAUGGGCGCAAGCCUGAUCCAGCCAUACCGCGUGGGUGAAGAAGGCCUUCGGGUUGUAAAGCCCUUUUGUUGGGAAAGAAAAGCAGCAGGUUAAUACCCCGCUGUUCUGACGGUACCCAAAGAAUAAGCACCGGCUAACUUCGUG
rnacentral:rRNA from 1 species